AAUUUAGUACUAAUAUUGUACAAUUUAUUUCUUUUCAGGUACCCCCGCCAGAAGGACGGAAGGACCGAGUUGCUGGAGUCCUCGAGAGUCAUUGGAGGUGAGUAUUAGAUGUGUUUGGCAGGGAAUUUGCUACGGACGCUGGAUGCGCGCCACUUGCAACAUUUAUGUCCGGAUAGCGUUGCAGGUAAUUUAUAGGUGGAGAGUUUAUCCCGCGCCGCUGUCAUUUGGUGGUUCUCUCUGCCACCCUCAGUGGUAGAUGUAUGCAAUUAUUUAUGGAGUUUGUUAAAUUGCAGGUCAGCUUUGCCGGUCGUCAUUGUUGUGGAGGGAUCUGUCUCGUUUUGGCAGAGGCGUCGUCAGUUUAGAUUGCGGCUUGGUCGUUCAACGAGAGUAGCUAGGUGCGCCGCGUCUUGUUGCCAUUUCGCCAGGUUUGGCAGCUUGGAGCCUCCGGAACAGGAUUAGUUGCCGAGGCCGUCGCAACGAUUGGGGCCAUGGAAAUGUGUGAAAAUAGAGAUUGGGUGAGUAUUUAUUGUUAUGAUAGUGUAAUUUUGUGUUUUUUCAGGAAAUUAAUGGGAGGUAAGUAGAAGGUAAGUAUUGUGUUUAUAAUUGUUUGUUAUUAUUAUUAAUGCAUUUAUUUUGGUUUUGAUUUCAGGUACAUUAGGUGGAAGCUGAUCUGGUGGUGAGUUUUCCAAUUGUUUUUUGCAAUUUGUUUGCUUGUUUAUAUGAUUAAUGCCUUUAUUUUGAUUUUGAUUUCAGGUACAUUAGGAGGAAGCUAAUCUGGUGGUGAGUAUUCUAAUUGUUUUUUUUGGUUUUUUGUAAUUUGUUUGUUUGUUUUUAUAAUUAAUGCAUUUAUUUUUGGUUUUAAUUUCAGGUACAUUAGGUGGAAGCUAAUCUGGUGGUGAGUGUUCUAAUAGUUUUUUUUUUUUUUUUUUUGGUUGUAUUAACAUUUUGUUUUUUCAGGAACGUUUUGUAACUAAUUUGGAGGCCCUUUGUUUUUGGAACAUAGCAACAGGAGAGCCGCGGGCUUAGUGUCGUCGAGUUGGCAAUUAGAUAAGUGUUUUGUUAAAGUUCGUAAAUCCCAGUAUUAGCUUGUGCUUCCUUGUUUCAGAGUUUACGAGCUUGAAAGAAGCAUUUGCGUGCUUAUUGUCAGCGGGAUAGAGUCGCCUGUUGGCGUCUAUUUAUUUGACUGUCUGGUUUGUUAAUUUAUAUUUGUCCUUAAUUAAAUUUUCUUUUGUAUCAUAUUCUUAUUAAUUUCCCUUCGUUGUAGGUUUUCGGAAAAUUCGUGGAUGAUGCGAUACUGAGGAAAAGUAUACAAUUUGGGAACAAAUAGUGCGAUUGAUUUGUGUGGCGUCAGCUCCGCGCUAGUGAUCCUUAUUGGAGUAGUGGCAUCAGGAGGUGGAGACGGCAUCGUAAUGUUGUCGAUUUUUUUGUGUUAAAAGGCAAAAAGUUGGCUAUUUUGUAUUACGUUUGAUGGAGCCGUCUCCUCUUGUCUAGUGCAUAGGAUGUGGGUAAGCUAUGUCUGCAGUGGGUGAGAUAUUUGCUUUAUUUGAUUUGAUUUUAUUUUGUUUAUUUAAUUUGUUGUUGAUUGUUUGCUUUUAGGUUUUAGCGUCAACUCGCUGUUGGCGCUCGUCGAGCUGGGAGUUUAUGGGAGCAGCAAAGUGUCCUGAUCGACGAGGUGGAAGCGUUGUUGGCCCGACCUUUGCAGAGCAUCAAUGUGUGUAGAUUUCAGCGGUGAUAAUAGAUAAUUCAAAGGACCUUGCGGCAAGAAGUUUCAGGCUCUGGUUGGUUUUUUCCGUAUCAUUUCGUCAGGAUCAGCUGGAGUGCGUUGUAGUAAGCUUGUUUGUCCGGGUGCGUUGAGUAUUCCAGACAAAUUUGGCUGCGUCGAGGAGGUUGAUGACCGUGAAGGAGUUUGGAGCGGACUGACGUGCACUUUUCCAUCAGAUAUUUAUAUCGUUAGAAUAAAUAUAAGUAUAAGAGUAGAUUUAGUUGGAUGUAUCCAUGUCAAGAUUGUUAUGUCUUCCUUGAAUAAUUAAGGCCAGUAAACUGUCAAUUUUCUUUUCUAAA